UAUUUUUUAGGUCAAACGCUGGUGCAAAACCCUCUAUUAUUGGAAUGGUGUUACUGUUUUUUUGGAGACGCAAAUGUGAUACAAACAUUUCCGUAAACCGGAACCGCCAAUCUUUUAUAUAGCUGGACGUUAGAGGUUGGAUGAGCAAAGCGGAUUCCAGAAUGAAUAAGAGUUUGGAUUAUUGCCCUGAAAUUUGGUAUUCUAUUAUCAAUACUUGAACGAUUAAGUGAGGCAAAGGAAGAGCUUUUACUAUCCCAUAUAAAACCUAGAUGAUUAAGUUUAUCAUCCAAAACAGGAUAUCCCAUUAUCAAAA